GUUCCCGUAUGAAUAGCGUACAAAAGUUUUCUAUUGACUUGUAAUCAAUUUUUUGGUCCAGUCAUGUCUUUUCUUUUGGGGUUUUUGAAUUAAGAAACAUAGUAAGAAUUCAGUAAAAGUUAUCACGACGUUUCACUGUUAUGUUAUCGAGGAGGGAAGUGGAUUUGUACAUAAUCAGUUCGUAUAUUUUGGUCUUAGACAGAAGUUAUUUCGUAUAUUUUAGACAGAAGUUAUAAGUAGCUAGCUAGCUAAGUUCAAUUUAACGCACUAACUAGCUAGCUAGCUAAGUUCAAUUUAACUUGGCUAGUUGG